rnacentral:rRNA from 1 species
GACGAACGCUGGCGGCGUGCUUAACACAUGCAAGUCGAGCGGUAAGGCCCUUUCGGGGGUACACGAGCGGCGAACGGGUGAGUAACACGUGGGUGACCUGCCCUUAGCUCUGGGAUAAGCCUGGGAAACUGGGUCUAAUACCGGACAUGACUCCAUGACGCAUGUUGUGGGGUGGAAAGCCUUGUGCGGCUAGGGAUGGGCCCGCGGCCUAUCAGCUUGUUGGUGGGGUGAUGGCCACCAAGGCGACGACGGGUAGCCGGCCUGAGAGGGCGACCGGCCACACUGGGACUGAGACACGGCCCAGACUCCUACGGGAGGCAGCAGUGGGGAAUCUUGCGCAAUGGGCGAAAGCCUGACGCAGCGACGCCGCGUGAGGGAUGACGGCCU